UCCCUCUGGGGGCAGGAAACUGCCAACUCCCCUUUGUCUCCUGGAAGUGACUCAUGGGGAGGGGGAAAGGAGGAACCAGCCAGGUGACAGGACACUCAGGUUACCACCACAACUCCUCCCUCAACCCCUCCUUUCUGUAAUGUAUGCAUGAUGUCAACUCCUCCUUUCUGUAAUGUAUGCAUGAUGUUUCUGGGGGUGGGCUUGACCUAGAG